GACGAACGCUGGCGGCGUGCUUAACACAUGCAAGUCGAACGGAAAGGCCCUGCUUUUGUGGGGUGCUCGAGUGGCGAACGGGUGAGUAACACGUGAGUAACCUGCCCUUGACUUUGGGAUAACUUCAGGAAACUGGGGCUAAUACCGGAUAGGAGCUCCUGCUGCAUGGUGGGGGUUGGAAAGUUUCGGCGGUUGGGGAUGGACUCGCGGCUUAUCAGCUUGUUGGUGGGGUAGUGGCUUACCAAGGCUUUGACGGGUAGCCGGCCUGAGAGGGUGACCGGGCACAUUGGGACUGGGGUACGGCCCAGACUCCUACGGGGGGCAGCAGUGGGGAAUAUUGCACAAUGGGCGGAAGCCUGAUGCAGCAACGCCGCGUGCGGGAUGACGGCCUUCGGGUUGUAAACCGCUUUCGCCUGUGACGAAGCGUGAGUGACGGUAAUGUGUAAAGAAGCACCGGCUAACUACGUG
rnacentral:rRNA from 1 species